rnacentral:rRNA from 1 species
GAUGAACGCUGGCGGCGUGCCUAAUACAUGCAAGUCGAGCGAGCAGACGAGGAGCUUGCUCCUCUGACGUUAGCGGCGGACGGGUGAGUAACACGUGGAUAACCUACCUAUAAGACUGGGAUAACUUCGGGAAACCGGAGCUAAUACCGGAUAAUAUAUUGAACCGCAUGGUUCAAUAGUGAAAGACGGUUUUGCUGUCACUUAUAGAUGGAUCCGCGCCGCAUUAGCUAGUUGGUAAGGUAACGGCUUACCAAGGCAAUGAUGCGUAGCCGACCUGAGAGGGUGAUCGGCCACACUGGAACUGAGACACGGUCCAGACUCCUACGGGAGGCAGCAGUAGGGAAUCUUCCGCAAUGGGCGAAAGCCUGACGGAGCAACGCCGCGUGAGUGAUGAAGGUCUUCGGAUCGUAAAACUCUGUUAUUAGGGAAGAACAAAUGUGUAAGUAACUAUGCACGUCUUGACGGUACCUAAUCAGAAAGCCACGGCUAACUACGUG